rnacentral:misc_RNA from 1 species
UGAGGUGUAGAAUAUACG